rnacentral:rRNA from 1 species
CGCGUAGGCGGGAUGGCAAGUCGGUCGUGAAAUCCCUCGGCUCAACUGAGGAGCGUCGAUCGAAACUGCCGUUCUUGAGGGUUGCAGAGGAGACUGGAAUUCCCGGUGUAGCGGUGGAAUGCGUAGAGAUCGGGAAGAACAUCGGUGGCGAAGGCGGUCUGCUGGGCCGUUGCUGACGCUGAGGCGCGACAGCGUGGGGAGCAAACA